rnacentral:rRNA from 1 species
AGAGUUUGAUCCUGGCUCAGAAUCAACGCUGGCGGCGCGCCUAACACAUGCAAGUCGAACGAGAAAGUGGAGCAAUCCAUGAGUACAGUGGCGUACGGGUGAGUAACACGUGGGUAAUCUACCUCUUAGUGAGGAAUAACCCUGGGAAACCGGGGCUAAUACCGCAUGAGCCUGAGAAGGGAAAGCAGAAAUGCGCUGAGAGAGGAGCCCGCGGCCGAUUAGCUAGUUGGUGGGGUAAGAGCCCACCAAGGCAGAGAUCGGUAGCCGGCCUGAGAGGGCACACGGCCACACUGGCACUGAAACACGGGCCAGACUCCUACGGGAGGCAGCAGUGGGGAAUCUUGCACAAUGGGGGAAACCCUGAUGCAGCGACGCCGCGUGAGCGAUGAAGCCCUUCGGGGUGUAAAGCUCUUUCGUCAGGGAAGAUAGUGACGGUACCUGGAGAAGCAGCUGCGGCUAACUACGUGCCAGCAGCCGCGGUAAUACGUAGGCAGCAAGCGUUGUUCGGAGUUACUGGGCGUAAAGGGUGUGUAGGCGGUUCUUUAAGUUUGGUGUGAAAUCUCCCGGCUUAACCGGGAGGGUGCGCCGAAUACUGAGGGACUAGAGUACAGGAGAGGAAAGUGGAAUUCCUGGUGUAGCGGUGAAAUGUGUAGAUAUCAGGAGGAACACCGGUGGUGUAGACGGCUUUCUGGACCGUAACUGACGCUGAGACACGAAAGCGUGGGUAGCAAACAGGAUUAGAUACCCUGGUAGUCCACGCCCUAAACGAUGCAUAUUUGGUGUGGGCAGUUCAUUCUGUCCGUGCCGGAGCUAACGCGUUAAAUAU